CUGCCAGAAGUGACUCACACACAGGCCACCAGUGGCACUCAGCUGUACCACUGCACUGCUGCUGAAAUUGCCAGCACCAGCGGCUUUGUAACAGCUGUUUCACAGCAUCUCGGAGACAAUGCCUACAAAAUUAUUGGCCCUGAUGACGAGAGCCCUCAAGGGGCAAACGACAUCUCUGUUGCAGAAGUGAGCCCGAUACCACCUUAAGUUACCAUGACAGAUGACACGGCUGCAAUAGAUACAGAGACUGCCGUGUUUACUGCCGCUGCAACAGUGUACGAGGCAAGCAGCAGCACGUCAGCAUCAGCAGUAGUGUCAAAAGGAACCGAACCAGGCCUGGUAGGGCAACAUGUGUGCUACCACUGUGACUUUUUUUGUAGUGCAUACACCUCAUCUGCUCAACAUACGAAAGCUUUUCACCACGACUGCGAGCCAGUGUUCUUGUUCAGCGAGAGCAAGACUAUGUUUGGUGUUAUAACACAGUAUAAGCAUGUAUAACACAGUAUUCAAACCUAUUACAGUUGUUGCCUCCCCGACCAGCCCACAUAGCGACAACAAUGUGGAAUGCAUGGUGGGACACACCUCUCUCCCAUUAGAAGAUAGUAGAGAGACUGUCAGUGUGGUUGUGGAAUGCAUGGUGGGACACACCUCUCUCCCAUUAGAAGAUAGUAGAGAGACUGUCAGUGUGGUUGCUAGAUUAACUGGUCAUUGUAGCCGACUAGAAGGACAACACAGGUGUCAUAAGAUUGUUGUUGAUGUUGUUGGUGAAGAGGUAAAAAAGAUGUUUGAUGCAGCUGAAGCAUUGAUAUUGAGCAAAUGAAAAGUGACCGCCUGAGAAAGCUACACUAUCGAAAUUUGGGUAUCUAUAUGCCGCCAACUCUGGUAAAGCUCACAGGGAAUGUAAAGACUUAUGUUGUAAAGUUAGCAAACCUCCUUCAAAAUGUGCUAAGGCACCCAAACAUUGUUGACUAUGUAAGUAAGCCCUGCAGAAUGCAGACUGACUCUGUACUUCGUGACUUCUGGGAUAGAACAAGGGUUCAUUCGCAUCCCAUUUUUAACAUACACAAGAAAAUGUUGUUCUUUUCAACCUGUAUUAUGAUGACAUAGAACUUGCUAACCCGAUGGGUACCAAAAGAGGCAAAUUGGGCAAGCUCAGUGUAUUUUAUUUAACAAUAUUAAACCUGCC
rnacentral:lncRNA from 1 species